ACUGUUGGGUACAGUACUUUGUGUGCUGCAGUCGCAAGUUCGAACUUUUUUAAGGCGUAGAAGCAAAUGCAUGAAAUGUAUGCUUUAGGAUAGUUGGACAAUCCAUUUUUGCAUAAGACUCUCAAAGAUCUUUUUAUAGGAAGCCCACCAAGAUACCGCAAGCAAGCAAUGUAGUCUUUGUUUCACAUUCAGGAGUCCUUCACUCAAUCAUGCAUCUAUUAUAUUUAAACUGAAUAAACAUUUUUUGUGAUUCUGUCUCACUUUCAAAUUCAAUCUGCUAAAUCUGAUCUGUAAAAGCUUUGCAGAUAGGCCCAAUAUUUCGUAAAUUAUGGAAGUUCAGCAAUUCAGAUGUCUUAAACGAAUGAAAGAAAAGAUCUGAAACAUUUUCCAACAAU